AUUGAACGCUGGCGGCAGGCCUAACACAUGCAAGUCGAACGAGUGGCGGACGGGUGAGUAAUGUCUGGGAAACUGCCUGAUGGAGGGGGAUAACUACUGGAAACGGUAGCUAAUACCGCAUACCAUCAGAUGUGCCCAGAUGGGAUUAGCGAGUAGGUGAGGUAACGGCUCACCUAGGCGACGACCCCUAGCUGGUCUGGGAGGAUGACCCGCCACACUGGACCUGAGACACUGUCCAGACUCCUACGGGAGGCAGCAGUGGGGAAUAUUGCACAAUGGGCGCAAGCCUGAUGCAGCCAUGCCGCGUGUGUGAAGAAGGCCUUCGGGUUGUAAAGCACUUUCAGCGAGGAGGCGUUACCCGCAGAAGAAGCACCGGCUAACUCCGUGCCAGCCGCCGCGGUAAUAC
rnacentral:rRNA from 1 species